UGUCAAUGUAAAAGUUUGAUUGGAUAUUUUACAAAAGUAAUGAAUAUUAUCUCUUUAAUAAAAUUAAUUAAUUAAUUAAUGUGUAAACAUAUAUGUGCAAUCCGAAAAUUAAAAUCAAAACUUUCGCACAAAGAAACGUAAUUCGAGGAUAGGAGGUUACAAACACCAAAAUACAUGCUGCGAUCUUUUCACCCAACGGUGGAUAGAGAUGGAAGGGAUGGAAAUGUACCAGAGGUAUUGGAUUUUGAUCGCAAUGAAUCUUCUCUUGAUGACGGCAAAUUCUCAAUUAACUAAAUUAAAAGGUUAGAAAGAAAAAUCGUGUGAAUCGCUUUGUUAUACGAAGAUGAGAAUAUGAAAAGGAUAGUUAUAAAAAGAAUUAUGUUUCGUGCGAUUAUAUUAACGUUGGUAAUAUUUAAAAUUAAUUAAGACGUAUUGAGACAUUAACAAAUGCACGAACACAAAAAUAAUUAGGAAAUGGUAUCAAGGAAUCUUUGAUAUAAGAUUAAAGAUAUAAUAUAUAAUUUACUAUCGUUGCAGG